UAGGGAAUCUUCCGCAAUGGGCGAAAGCCUGACGGAGCAACGCCGCGUGAGUGAUGAAGGUCUUCGGAUCGUAAAACUCUGUUAUUAGGGAAGAACAAAUGUGUAAGUAACUAUGCACGUCUUGACGGUACCUAAUCAGAACGCCACGGCUAACUACGUGCCAGCAGCCGCGGUAAUACGUAGGUGGCAAUCGUUAUCCGGAAUUAUUGGGCGUAAAGCGCGCGUAGGCGGUUUUUUAAGUCUGAUGUGAAAGCCCACGGCUCAACCGUGGAUGGUCAUUGGAAACUGGAAAACUUGAGUGCAGAAGAGGAAAGUGGAAUUCCAUGUGUAGCGGUGAAAUGCGCAGAGAUAUGGAGGAACACCAGUGGCGAAGGCGACUUUCUGGUCUGUAACUGACGCUGAUGUGCGAAAGCGUGGGGAUCAAACAGG
rnacentral:rRNA from 1 species